rnacentral:rRNA from 1 species
UACGUAGGGUGCGAGCGUUGUCCGGAAUUAUUGGGCGUAAAGAGCUCGUAGGCGGUUUGUUGCGUCUAUCGUGAAAACCUGCGGCUUAACUGUGGGCUUGCGGUGGAUACGGGCAGACUUGAGUUCGGUAGGGAAGACUGGAAUUCCUGGUGUAGCGGUGAAAUGCGCAGAUAUCAGGAGGAACACCGGUGGCGAAGGCGGGUCUCUGGGCCGAUACUGACGCUGAGGAGCGAAAGCGUGGGGAGCGAACAGG